GACGAACGCUGGCGGCGUGCUUAACACAUGCAAGUGGAGCGACGAACCGGGCUUCGGCCCGGGGCAGAGCCGCGAACGGGUGAGUAACACGUGGGUAACGUGCCCCGACGAUCGGGACAACCCGGGGAAACCCGGGCUAAUACCGAAUGAACCCUUCUGACCCAAGUCGGACGGGGAAAGGUAGCUUCGGCUUCCGCGUCGGGAUCGGCCCGCGGCCCAUUAGCUUGUUGGUGAGGUAACGGCUCACCAAGGCUUCGAUGGGUAGCUGGUCUGAGAGGACGAUCAGCCACACUGGGACUGAGACACGGCCCAGACUCCUACGGGAGGCAGCAGUGGGGAAUCUUGCGCAAUGCGCGAAAGCGUGACGCAGCAACGCCGCGUGAGGGAAGACGGCCUC
rnacentral:rRNA from 1 species